AUUAAUUUUUAAAACUAUGUUUAAUUAAUAUUUAUUGUUGAAUAUUAAAUUAAUAUGUAUUGUUAUAAUCAUCAAUUUAAUAUUUUUAUUAAUAUGUAUUAUAUUUUGAUAUUGAAAUACUGCAAAAAAAAAAAAAGUAAUUUACAUUAUACUUUGUUAUUGGUGGAUCUCCCUUCAGGAUGUCUUAACGAAGAAAACAAUGAGAAUUUUUACUUUUGGAUCUCAUAUUGUUGGAAAAUCAUACAGAACCCUUCUAAAAUUUACUAGCAUGUUCUCAUGCAGUGGCAUUCGUUUUUCCUUUUUAAAAUGCAGGCAGCCAAGAAUAAACUUCCGCAGCAGUGCUGUUAUUAGUUGUUAUUCUUUUAUGUGUGAACAUAAAAGGGUUGGGUGUCAAGGUGGGGUCCUGCGGUCACUGAUCUUUCAUCUUACGUGACCUUUUAUUCAGCAACUUCUCUAUUUUUUCAGAUUAAAUGUUCAUAAAUGUGUGAGCUCUUACAUGAAUUAACUUCAACACAAAAUAUUGUUCAGCUAAAACAUGCUAAAGAGGCGGCGCUUUCUGUCAGUAGUGCACAGGAAAUACUAAGAUACUUCUAAUGAGGCAGACUCAGCAGUAAUGUGUAAUGUGCAAAGCAUGCUGUGAAGUCAAGCAUGACACAUUCUCUGAGCUGUGAUCUGCAAGUAAGACAGGAAGAAGUGGGUGGAAAAGCACUGACACAAUACAACAGGCAGCUACAUUUGGCUUUGCUUUCUUACUGUAGCUUGUGCAUCAGGCAGCAUGUCUUUAAACUAGGUUUAAUUGAUUAACUCUUGGAAUGGGAAAAACUUUCAAACAAAUAAAUCUAAAGUCACCAAGCCCAUUGUUUUGAGUUUCAUGCUUCAUUAGCUAUUGAGUAUGAAGCUCUAAUAUCAUACACUGAAAAAAUGUACUUGAAACAAUUUUCACUCUGGAAUUUCUAGUAAAUUUCACAAAUAUACGGUGGCCAGAACACGCUGCAACUGAAGAAAACACAUGCAAAUAUAUAUAUAAAAAAAAAACACCACCAAAUUAAGAAAACAUCUCCAUUAGUUUGACAACACAUGGUGCGAAUACUCACAACGCAACCAAAUACAGAAACGUGCUGCAAAUAUUCACAACACCAUACAGAAACACCCUGCAAAUACUCACAAUGCAACCAAAUACAAAAACACACUGCAAAUACUCACAACACAACCAAAUACAGAAACACGCUGAAAAUACUCACAACACAACCAAAUACAGAAACAUGCUGCAAAUACCCACAACGCAACCAAAUACAGAAACACGAUGCAAAUACUCGUAAUGAAAUACAGAAAUGCACUGCAAAUACUCACAAUGCAACAAAAUACAGAAACGCAUUGCAAAUACUCGCAAUGAAAUACAGAAACGCACUGCAAAUACUCAAAACACAACCAAAUACAGAAACGCGCUUCAAAUAAAGUAAUUUACAGUAUAUUUUGUUAUUGGUGGAUCUCCCUUCAGGAUUUCUUAAUGAAGAAAACAACUAAAAUUUUUACUUUUGGAUCUCAUACUGGUACACAGUCAUACAGAACUCUGCUAACAUUUGCUAGCAUGUUCUCAUGCAGUGGCAUUUGGGUUUUCCUUUUUAAAAUGCAUGCAGCCAAGAAUAAACUUCCUCAGCAGUCCUGUUAUUAGUUGUUCUUCUUUUAUGUGUGAACAAAAAAGGCCUGGGUGUCAAGGUGGGGUCCCGUUCAUCUUACGUGACCUUUUACUCAGCAACUUCACUCUUUUUUCAGAUUAAAUGUUCAUAAAUGUGUGAGCUCUUACUUGAAUUAACUUCAACACAAAAUAUUGUUCACUCACAAUGCAACCAAAUACAGAAACACGCUGCAAAUACUCACAACGAAACCAAAUACAUAAAAGUGCUGCAAAUACUCACAACACAACUGUUACAAGCCCCAGCUCUUUCUCUUGUUUUCUUUUUUCCUUUCUGAGCAUAGUUGCCAAUUGGAUGGGGGCGGAGCCUGGUUAUCUCCAACACCUGUGGCCUCUGCCUAUUUAAGAGCUGCUGGUGGCACUCCACUUUGGCCUACCUCAAGAAACCUGUUGCUGGUGGUUUUGGAGUUUGUUUUUCUUUUCUUUUCUUUUCUUUUCUUUUCUUUUCUUUUCUUUUCUUUUCUUUUGUACAGGAUGGUGAGAUCUGUUUGUUUAGUUAUAUUAGAAUAGAGGGAAAGCAUAGGUAAGUAAGCUGACCCGGAAGAUUCUUUUGUGUUUGUUAUUUUUCUCGGGAGUGAGGAAAGUUUAACUCUGAGUUGUAGUUUAGAUUAGUUAGCUCACCAGUCCUGAUGUGAGUUUUUGUAUGUUUAUAUUUACAGCCAAUAAAUUUGCUCAUUUUUGCCCUGGCCAUUGCAAAUUUUGCUUAUAAAUUCUUUUGAACGGCUUUUUUAUGUUGGUCCCUAAUCUGGGUCAUAACAUAAAUUGGGGGCUCGUCCGGGAUAGACCUGAACUGCCUUUGUAAUGCGUUUUUUUUUUUUUUUUUUGGCAGUUUUAUUGGUGGGUUUUUCUGACCACUUUUUUGCCGUUCUCUUGUGUAAUCGCCUUUGAUUUGGCCAUGGGUUUUAGUUGGUUUAUGGGGUAGAGUUCCUGGAUCUGCCUAAUUGUAUCUUACAGUAGGCUUUGUUCGUACUUUUAGUACUUGUGUUUUGUCAGGGAACAUUUGUGAUGGAAAAUUUCAAUUUAGAGACGUUUAUUCAGACUCCUUCAUUAGAACCGCUUAAUAGCUGUAGAAAAGCUGAGCUUCAGCAAAUUGCAGAUUUUUUAUAAAAUGGAGUUGUUCGUGGUAGUCUUGAAACUGCCAUGAGACAACAAAUUUUGUCUGCAUUAGUGGAUCAAAAAGUGUUCUCUAGUGAUGCUGCUUUAAAAUUUUUGCAGGCACAUACUUUAGUCCAGUCUGGUCAACUGGAUUUGUCAAGAGAAUCAGCUGUUGAGAAAUCUCAGCAUGUAAAGGAACUUGAACUAGAGCUUAAACUUAGAACUUCAGGUUAAAAAAAAACAGAUAGCAAGUGACUUGGAACUAAAAAGGUUAGAACUGGAGUCAGAAAGAUUGGAAAUGGAGAAAACCUUUUGUUUAAAAGAGCUGGGACUUAAGGCAGCUAGACCAAGUCAAGCAGCCACAACAUCUGAAGUUAGUGCUGGCUUUGAUGUCAGUAGAAACAUUUGUUUGGUCCCUCCUUUUAGAGAAAAGGAUGUGGAUAAAUACUUCACUCAUUUUGAGCGUGUAGCCAAAUCUCUAGGUUGGCCUAAGUGUGUUUGGACGUUACUUUUACAAUGCGUCUUAUCCGGUAAGGCUCAAGAAGUUUACUCUUCUUUAUCCUUUGACCAAAGUUCAGAUUUUGAAGCUGUUAAAACAGCAAUUCUAAGGUCAUAUGAAUUUGUCCCUGAAGCUUACAGGCAAAAAUUUUGAAGUUUCCAGAAGACUGAGGAGCAAACCUAUGUAGAGUUUUCACGUGAACAAGAGCGCUUAUUUGAUCGUUGGUGUGUAUCUCAAGGUGUUGUUAACUUUGCUCAGCUUAGAGAUCUGAUUGUUCUGGAGGAAUUUAAAAACUGCCUCCCUGAUGCUGUGACAACCUUCUUAAAUGAACAGAAGGUGAUUUUGGUGGACGAAGCAUCUGUUUUAGCUGAUGAGUUCGUUUUGACUCAUAAACGUGUUUUUGUACCGAAGUCUAGUGUUCACCUUGAUAAGCUUGCUUGUAGUGAAUUUAACCCUUUUAGCCAAGUACAGAAAACAGUAGACAAGCCAAGUGAGUUUGUACAAAUACAGAAACGCGCUGCAUAUACAAAAAAAUGCGCUGCAAAUACUCACAAUGCAAUCAAAUACAGAAAUAUGCUGCAAAUACUCACAAUGCAACCAAAUACAGAAACGCGCUGCACAUACUCAAAACAGAACCAAAUACAGAAACACUGCAAAUACUCACAACGUAAUCAAAUACAGAAGCGCUGUAACUACUCAUAAUGCAAUCAAAUACAGAAAUGCGCUGCAAAUACUCACAACGCAACCAAAUACAGAAACACGUUGCAAAUACUCACAAUGCAACCAAAUACAGAAACGCGCUGCAAAUACUCAAAACAGAACCAAAUACAGAAACGCGCUGCAAAUACUCACAAUGCAAUCAAAUACAGAAAAGCGCUGCAAAUACUCACAAUGCAACCAAAUACAGAAACGCUGCAAAUACUCAUAACGCAAUUAAAUACAGUAAAGCGCUGCAAAUACACACAAAGCAACAAAAUACAGAAACACACUGCAAAUACUCACAACGCAACCAAAUAUAGAAACGAGCUGCAAAUACUCAAAACAGAACCAAAUACAGAAACAUGCUGCAAAUACUCACAACGCAACCAAAUACAGAAACAUGCUGCAAAUACUCACAAUGCAACCAAAUACAGAAACACGCUGCAAAUACUCAAAGCACAACCAAAUACAGAAACGUGCUGCAAAUACUCACAAUGCAACCAAAUACAGGAACGCGCUGCAAAUAGCAUGGAAAUGUUUCAAGGGGACCCCAACAAGUGACGAACCUAGCUGGGACAUCCUUAUUGUUCAAUGUCUACUCGUCAGAGGUGUUGUCAACAACCAGAAAGGUGAGGGUUUUUUUUAUUUUCUUUAAAUUUUUUAUUAAAUAGUAUUUCCUUGUAAACCUACUCCAUUUAUCCUUGUUUUUAUUUACAGUUUACAACCAUUUUUUUUUCUUUUUACAGUAAAACAAGCUUUUGACUAGAACCAGUAGGCAACCACUCAGAACACCUUAGCAACUGCAUAGCAACACCCUGGCACCCUGGCAUCCACUACAUGCAAACAUUGUAGAGGAAUCCGUCCAUAAGCCCCCCAAAAGCACAUUCUUGGACCCACCCAGGCCCUUCCAAGCGAGCUGAUAGCAAACACACACCACAGCCCUGCCCCGCGUCUAACCGCUCCACCAACCCUGGCAUCUGCCAUCCAUCCAACGGUUGGUGUCCAGCUACUAAAAAUAUCCUGAACGCUGGCUUAUUCAGCAGGGUUUUUCUGUUCCAAAUGAUUUCCUAAACUGAAAGAGAUAUUUGAAAUGCAUAAACUCCUGAUCAACAACAAACAUCCCGCCCUGACCUAACCAACCCAGCAUAUCCAAAUCCAUUCAAAAAUAAGGGCACAGCACUUCUGAAAACAGAAAUGUGUUUCUGUAUAAAUGAAAUGUUAAAUACAUGAUGUCUCGCCUCAGGAAACAGCGUUGCUGACGGUAAUUCAAGGAGCGCUAUUUUUUUAUGUCAUUUGUUUGAUUGCGGUCAAUCUUAUUUUAAUCUUCCACACCGUGCAUCGUAUCGUUUUCCAUAUUUAAUUUCCUUAUGCUGUGCUAUCUCCUCCCUGACUUCCUCUUCCAGAUCCCAUGUCAUAGAUAGAAGAAACUUAAGCCCGCGAAGGUGUGGGUCUCCAUGCGGGCCAAGCCCUGUUCACUGUGACAGCUGUGAGGAGAUAACAUGGAUGCGCACUGAUAGCAUGUCGGGGGGUGUGUAAGGACAUUCAGUGGUGCAGGAAUGCGCUGAGACCAGCCGACUGGUCAAGAAACUACUGUUUGCACGUCUGUGUCCACUUGGACUGAUUAUGGAUCGAUCAGGUGUCUUCAAAACGCACGUAAAUGCCACAGUUUUAACCAUCACAGACCUAAAAAGUAGUAUCAGUCGAUUAUUGCCAUUGAUAUUUAUAUCCACUCUAUAACCACUAUCUAUAUAUAGGUAUAUACAUACACACAAUAGAAUUUAGUGUUAAUGGGAUUAAAUAGAAGUAAAUAAAAUGAACAUUAUUUUACACAAUAUUUACACUGAAUUCUAUAUCGUAUUUUUAUACAUUUAUAUAAUUUCUUUUUAUAUUUUCGAAAAUAACCAAAUAUCAGACAAAAUAAAUUUAUCACAAAAUUUAUGAGCCACCGGCCACCCUGCUCUCUGUAUUUCAGCAUCAGCCAUUGAAAACCCCAUAUAAGUCGACCAGCACUUCCUCAAACACCUGGAGUUGUUUUCAUCUAGUUUCAGUCUGUAGUUUGUGGGCGCCAUGCGAGGGAUUCCCUGCUGCACACGUACGUGCUUCACUUUAAGUGCCCGUGUGGAUUAGUAGGGCAAGUCUAGACCGAGUAUACGCAGCCUCCAGCAGCAGACGGGCGCUCCUGUGAUCUCGCUGCCUGUCCCGUUCUCUUCAAAGGCCUGCACUCUCUCAAUGGUUUCUUCCGACAGGAUCACAAGAGCAGGAUUUUGUCUUUGACAAUAAUUGCAAGCAUAUCAAAAGCAGCAUUCAUCCACACAUAAGCAGUCUGUGAGCACUUUGAGCCCGCAUUUAUGUGCUAAAGAUUUUUUUUGGAGGGGUGUGUAGGGUGGAUGUAACACAGAAAAAUAUUAGAUGGAAAUGACAUUUUUAUUUUGCAACAGUUAGAUGCUGCUGUAAGUUU